rnacentral:lncRNA from 1 species
CGCGGGUCGGGCGCUCGGUCGCAGCGCAGGCCCCGACCCCUUAGGCCUCAGGAUCAAAAACUCAUGUGUGAGGCGUUCGGGUCGAUGGACAAUCAUAUAUUCCUAGGAGCGCACAAACACAUAAUUUUCUAUCUUCUGUAACAGGGAGGUUAUGUCACAGUCACUGAUCUCAGUGCCCGUUCCCACAAGUUUACCUUGUCAGAACUUCUGUGACCUGCAGGAUUGCAAAACGGUUUUAAAAGAUGAACAAAUCAGAUAGGGACUGGCUCAGACUCUGGGACUGGCCAACCCAGGAAGGUUACUGCGCGGUGAGGUGGUGGUGGAUGGCCACAGUGGGAGUGCCACACAGUAAUGGAUGUGCAGUACAUUUACUAGCUAACUUCACAAAUGGUAUUAGACAUCAAAAGUAACAUAGAAUCACAGGAUCGUUAAGGUUGGAAAAGACCACUAAGAUGAUCUAAUCCAACCACCAACCCAUCCCCACCAUGCCCACUAAACGUGUCCCUCAGUGCCACAUCUCAAGUUUCUUGAAUGCCCCCAGGGACAGUGACUCCCUCCCCUGGGCUGCCUGCUCCAAUGCCUGACGACUGUUUCUGAGAAGUUUAUCCUAAUAUCCAGCCCGAACCUCCCCUGGCACAACUUGAGGCCAACACCUCUUAUCCUAUUGCUGUUAUGUGGGAGAAGAGGCUGACCCCCACCUCACUACCACCUCCUUUCAGGGCAUUGUAGAGAGGUCUCCCCUGAGCCUCCUCUUCUCUAGACUGAACAAUCCCAGUUCCCUCAGCCACUCUCCAUAAGACCUGUGUUCCAGACCCUUCAUGGCUUUGUUGCCCUUCUAUAAGCACGCUCCCGUGCAUCACUGUCUUUCUUGUAGUGAGAGGCCCAAAACUGAACACCAUACUUGAGGUGCAGCCUAACUAGAACUGAGUACAGAGUAUCACCUCCAGCUCCUCCUGGCUGCACUAUUUCUGACACAAGUCAGGAUGCUGUUGGCCUUCAUGGCCACCCGGGCACACUGCUGGUUCAUGUUCAGCUGGCUGUUGACUAGCAUUAUCAGAUACUUUUCAUCUGUGCAAUUUUCCAGCCACUCUGCCCCAAGCCUGUAGUAUUGCAUGGGGCUAUUGUGACCAAAGUGCAGGACCUGGCACUUGGUCUUGUUGAACUUCAUCCCAUUGGCCUCAGCCCAUUGAUCCAGCCUAUCCAGAUCCCUCUGUAGGGCCUUCCUACCCCCAGGCAGAUGUACACUUCCUCUCAGCUUGGUGUCAUCUGCAACCUACUGAGAAUGCACUCAAUCCCCUCAUCCAGGUUAUCAAUAAAGAUAUCACACAGGGCUGGCCCCAGUGCUGACCCUUAGGGAACACCAUUCACGACCAGUGGGAGUGGAAUGCAGCCAUGCACUGCACACUACAACAGCCAACAGGCCAGGUCAGGCCACCAAAGGCUUGAGCAACUUUUGAGGGAACUUGAUUGACUGCUACAAUUCUAGCAGUCACAUUUUAACUUCUAUAUGCCAAACACCACACAGCAGGGUUCAGUUACACAUAGGCCUUGCAUUUACAGCUACACCUUUCCCUCGAUUGAAUGGGCAUGCCUAUAUUCUUCCUUCUCCCCUGCAGGUACUCACAGAUGUGUUGUAAGAUGGUGGCAGAAAGGCCCAUCUUCCUUACAUGUACAUUAGGGAUUUGCUUCCAUCUU